UACGUGGGGUCCGAGCGUUAAUCGGAAUUACUGGGCGUAAAGCGUGCGCAGGCGGUUUUGUAAGCCAGAUGUGAAAGCCCCGGGCUUAACCUGGGAAUGGCAUUUGGGACUGCAAGGCUGGAGUACGGCAGAGGGAGGUGGAAUUCCAGGUGUAGCAGUGAAAUGCGUAGAUAUCUGGAGGAACACCGAUGGCGAAGGCAGCCUCCUGGGCUAGUACUGACGCUCAUGCACGAAAGCGUGGGGAGCAAACAGG
rnacentral:rRNA from 1 species